rnacentral:misc_RNA from 1 species
GGGGGAGAGGGUGAGGGCAGGGUCCCUGGGCCCCUCCCCUAGAUCUGCCACUGGUAGACUAUUAUUUAUCUGACUAUUUCAAAUAAUCAAUAAUCCGCCACUGAGGAGGGAGAGGCGUUUUUUCGUCGUUAGCCCUGCCGGCUUUUCUUUCUUCUGCGAUACUUUUUAUUUUUCUUUCAACCCAAAAUAAGGGGGGGCGCGGAACCGGAGCCCCUAGGCCCCUCCCCUAGAUCCGCCACUUGCUUUGAUCAACCACAGUACGUGUAACAUUUCGGCUAUUUCGUGUUAAAUAUAUCGGUGGCAGAUCAGGGAAAAAGGGCACGAAGGGCGAGGUCGAACUCCUUGAAUUGAACUAGCUAUCGUCCAAGAAUUGCAAAAAAACUCAAAAUUUGGAUGCAAAGUGGUAACACUGACGGACCUCGUACUGGCGGUUGGCUCCGGCUCAUGUUCCAUACCCGCCAUUCGCAAAAUCCGCCCCUAAACCAACCCUGACUUAAGGCUAAAAGUGCCUUUUAGUAAUGUAUGUUUAUUUUCCUCUUCGUUUUAAAUGAAUUCUUGUUCGCCUCUUGAAAAAGAGGCGAACAAUGUCUGCCAAUACUUAUCCAAUCAGAGGGAAGUUUACAUUUGGAUGCAAAUUUAUAGUCAUUCAUUGCUCACUGACGUACAUUUGCCGUGAAGGGUGACAGAGGGCACUAUCUCACGCUAUUAAUACUAUUUUUAUUUUUAUUUUCUUACGGGGAACAGUUUAGACGUCACUUACUCGCUUAUUUCAAUCUACGAAGUUAGGGUUUAUAGUUACAAGGGUGAGAUGUCUCGCGUUUUGGUGACAGGUGCUUCGGGUUUCCUUGCAAGCCAUGUUGUGAGGCAGUUGCUCGAAGCCGGACAACACAGGGUUCGUGGAACAGUUCGUAGUCUUGCAAACGAGGAAAAAGUGGGUCCUCUGAGACACCUCUGCCCAGAAUAUGCCAUGUAUGAACUGGAACUGGUCGAGGCAGACCUGAUGAACAAAGACUCUUGGCAGGAGGCUGUCAAAGACUGCACUUAUGUAAUUCAUGUGGCAUCACCCUUCCCAGCUGUUAAUCCAAGCAAUGAAAUGGAGGUUAUAGGACCUGCAGUAGAGGGAACUAAAAAUGUGCUCCAAGCAUGUGCUCAAACCAAGGGUGGAGUUAAAAGAGUUGUUUUGACAAGCUCUGUUGCUGCAAUUUAUGGAGGGCGUCUUGAUGAACAAAUCACAUUUACUGAGAGUGAUUGGGCCAAUGAGGAAGGAAGUAGUCCUUAUGAAAAAAGCAAGAACCUUGCUGAGAAAGCUGCUUGGGAAUUACAGAAGGACUUACCAGAUGAUGAGAGGUUUGAACUGUGUGUCAUUUGUCCUGGAUUCAUCUUAGGACCUGUUCUACAAGGAUCAAACUGCACAAGCAUGGAGUUUCACAAACGUCUUCUUGAAAGACAAAUACCAAUGGUUCCCAGGCUAUCUUUUGCAAUGUGCGAUGUCAGAGAUGUAGCAGCAGUACACAUAACUGCUAUGACAUCAUCAAAAGCCCCUGGUAACAGAUAUAUUGUCAUCAAAGAAUCUAUGUGGACAGAUGAAAUGGCAAAAAUUCUGGAUGAAGAAUUUAGGAUACAAGGUGCCAACAAGAGUUGCCCCAAAGUUUGGAUUACGAGUACUUGCAAUGUUUGAUGGUUCAGUUAAAAUGAUUCUGCCUGCUGUUGGAAAAGAGAUCAGAAUGGACAACUCAAAAGUCAUUCAAGAUUUGGAUUUCAAGCCUAGAGAGUUAAGAAACACUGUAAUAGACAUGGCUUACAGCCUUAUUGAUGCUGGUUUUAUCAAAAAGACAGCAAAAUAUCAGAAAUUGAAGGACAGUUAAGAGUUUUAAAGGAGGCUUAAAUGGGUUUCAAUUUUUAAUGCCUAUUGCUUGAUGAAUUAAUACAAGUACAAUGAUUUAAUUUGGACGUUGGUAACAUACUGUCUCGUAUGCAGAUUUCAUACAGAUUUGUUUAGGACAUUGCUAAGCAAUUAACUAUUAUGCAGACUUGCAAUGUACGAAAUAAAUAUAAAACAGGCAAUACCAAACUUCUUUUUUGCUACAGACUCAUAAUUCUAAAUAAAUCUAUGGGUAUUUCUUAGAGGCUGUGGUGUUGCUAUGGUAACAUUUUUGUGUUAAAAAAGUGAUUGUAACUUGUUUAUCGAUAAUUUAUAGAAAUUUUGUAUGAUACUUAUUGCUAAAGGAAAUAAAUUUUAAUUAACCACCGCAA